AACGGCUACCACAUCCAAGGAAGGCAGCAGGCGCGCAAAUUACCCAAUCCUGACACAGGGAGGUAGUGACAAAAAAUAACAAUACCUGGCCUCUUUAGGUCGGGUAAUUGGAAUGAGUACAAUUUAAAUCCCUUAACGAGGAACAAUUGGAGGGCAAGUCUGGUGCCAGCAGCCGCGGUAAUUCCAGCUCCAAGAGCAUAUAUUAAAGUUGUUGCAGUUAAAAAGCUCGUAGUUGGACUUCUGGUUUAAUGCACCUGGCCCGCGGCCCAAAAGGCCUGUGAGUGCCGGCGCGCGUUUACCAUCCUUCCAGCAACGGCUACCCUUAACUGGGCGGCUGGAACUGGAUCUUUUACUUUGAAAAAAUUAGAGUGUUUAAAGCAGGCGUUUGCUCUGAAUACAUUAGCAUGGAAUAAUAAUCUAGGACUUCGGUUCUAUUUUGUUGGUUUCUAUAACUGAAGUAAUGAUUGAUAGGGAUAGUUGGGGGUGCUAGUAUUGGCCGGUCAGAGGUGAAAUUCUUGGAUUCGGUCAAGACUAACUUAUGCGAAAGCAUUCACCAAGGAUGUCUUCUUUAAUCAAGAACGAAAGUUGGGGGAUCGAAGACGAUCAGAUACCGUCGUAGUCUCAACCAUAAACUAUGCCAACUAGGGAUGGGUGAAAGUUGCAUUUUCGACUUCAUCCGCACCUUAUGAGAAAUCAAAGUCUUUGGGUUCCGGGGGGAGUAUGGUCGCAAGGCUGAAA
rnacentral:rRNA from 1 species